rnacentral:lncRNA from 1 species
UUUUUUUUAUUACUCAAAUGAAUUUAUCACAUCUGUAGUUGUAUAAUGAUCAUAACAAUCUGAUUUCACAGGAUUUCCAUCCCACAGCCCAAGCACAUCCCCCCACCCCCCAAAACUGUCUCCUCUGGAGACCGUAUGUUUUUCAAUGUCUGUGCAUCAGCAUCUGUUCUGCAAAGAAGUUCAGUCUGUCCUUUUUUCAGAUUCCACAUGUCAGUGGAAGCAUUUGAUGUUGGUGUCUCAUUGUAUGACUGACUUCACUUAGCAUGAUAGUUUCUAGGUCCAUCCAUGUUGCUAAAAAUGCUGGUAUUUCGUUCUUUUUAAUGGCUGAGUAAUAUUCCAUUGUGUGUAUGUACCACCUCUUCUUGAUCCACUCCUCUGUCAAUUUAGGUUGUUUCCAUGUUUUGGCUAUUGUAAAUAGUGCUGCAAUGAACAUUGGAGUACAUGUGUCUUUGUGAGUCAUGGUUUUCUCUGGAUAGAUGCCCAGGAGUGGGAUUGCUGGAUCAAAUGGUAGUUGUAUGUUUCUGAGGUAUCUCCAUACUGUUUUCCACAGUGGUUGCACUGAUUUACAAUCCCACUGACAGUUGUACUAGUGUUCCUUUUUCUCCACACCCUCUCCAGCACUUCUUGUUUGUAGACUUUUGGAUGAUGGCCAUUCUGGCUGGUGUAAGGUGGUACCUCAUCAUGGUUUUGAUUUGCACUUCUCUGAUAAUGAGUGAUGUUGAACAUCUUUUCAUGUGUUUUUUGGCCAUCUGUAUGUCUUCUUUGGAGAAUUGUCUGUUUAGAUCUUCUGCCCAUUUUUUGAUAGGCUUGUUAAAAUGGACAAAAGAUUUGGACAGGAACUUCACCAAAGAAGAUAGAUGAGAUGUAAAUAAGGAAAUUUUAAAAAUGUUCAUUGUUAUUAGUUAUUUCAUCAUUAUGGAAAUCCAAAUUAAUGAAUACACAAUAAAUUACACAAAAUAAUGAAUACACAAUAUAUUAGAAUGGCUAAAAUUUAAAAGGAAUAAUGCAAGACAGUAGAAACACUCAAGCAUUAAUGGGAAUGCAAAAUGAUAUUGUUUUUCUGAACUAUGGUGUGGAAAUUUAUUUUAAACUUAAAAAAUACUUACUGAAUCACCUGGGUUAGCAUUUAUUCUAAGUAUUAAUGCUAAAGAAAUGAAGAUAAGUUCAUAGAAAACCUAAAUAUAAAUGUGUUAAAGUGGCAUUAUUGAUAAUUGACAAGACCUGGAAACAGUCUCAAUGUUCAUUAACAGGUAAAUGGUUAAACAGUGUUAUAUCAUUCAAUCAGGUUAUUGGCUAGCCACAAUGAGAAAAAUUCUCAAAGGCAGUAUACUAGGUGCAAGAAUCCAGACUCAAAAGGUGAUAUCAUCUAUGAUUUACUUGACAUUCUAGAAAAGACACAAAUGUAGGAGCAGCAUGACAGAAUUAUUUGGGAUAUUUGAAAUGUCUGUUAAUUGUCUGUGGUUGUGGUUGUUAGAAACUAUUCAUAUAUAAAAAUAUAAAUACCUAUUCACCAAAAGGUGCUUUUCUUAGUAUGUUUAUUAAUAAUAAUAGUAACCAGUAAUAAUAGUAACACCAAGAUGGAGCUAAAGCAAUAUCACUGGAGAUUAUUUUUAAUAAUUAAAUGUAUUACUCUUCUUUGUUAAAUGUCUUUUAUAAAACAAAUUUUUCAAUAUGGUUAAUAUGCUAAUUAUUCUUUUAGAAAAGGAUACCAACCUAGAAAAAACUUUAUCUUUUAAAAAUGUGGUUGCAAACUAAGAGUGCAUUCCUUGCCCUAUUGUGUUUUGAAAUUCUAAGUUUUAUGCUUCUUCAGAGAAUAAAAUUAUUUGCUACCAAUACUGUAGAAAAAUAAUUUGAAAACUCAUAGUAGUGGGUGAGACAGCAGGUAAUAGAAGUCUUCUUCAUGUAAUGGUGGCCAAAUCAAUAUGGAGUUGAGGUCAUCACAGUCAGUAAUAGGAGCUGAUUCAGAAAGACAGCUACUUACCACCAUAGGUUGAAAUCAGACAGCUGUGUUAUGAUUCUAGGGAUGGCCGAGUCAUUUAUAGCAGUUAUAUUCACACCUUUAAAUGAGAAAAGUGAACUCCACAACCUGAGAUUUAGAGCAGUGGGCGGGGGGAAUUGCAGUACUGCAACUCUUGACUUAAAAGGAAAAGGAAAAACAGGAAAAACGGUAGUAUAUAUUUUAAAUACAUCUUUCAACUUACCUAAAACUGUUAUAAUUAAGAAGAAUGAAUUAAUGUUCAACCUAACAUGUUUAUUCUGCCUUUCUUCAUGGAAAGCUGCUUUAAAAUAGUUUACUAAUGUAUCAAAAAUACUCAAGACAUAAUUAAAUGAUUGUUUCUUUUAUAUUUCAUUCUUUCAAGUUCAGGAAAUUUAAAUAAUGUUAAUAUUUUUAAUAUUUUAAAUUGGUUAAUUAAAAAAAGUACCCUACUUGGAGUUCCCUCAUGGUUCAGUGGGUUAAGUAUCACACAGCGUUGUCAUUGCUGUGGCUCUGGUUGGAGCUGUGGUGCAGGUUCGAUCUUUUGUCCAGGAAUUUCCACAUGCCAGAGGUAUGGAAAAAAGAAAUUGCCCUACUUAAUUUUCUUCCCUUCUUGCAUGACAAUAUCUUGGAGCUUUGGUUACUUUUAGGUCCCUAGUAUUAUUUCACCAUCUCCAUUUGAAUAUAUCCUUUUUUACCAAAUUUUGAAAGAAUAUUUAUCAUGAAUUUUUCUCCUCAUCCCCAUCAAAUUUUAAAUACCAUUCUUAGAAAACACAAAGUAUUGCUUUCAAUAAAAUUCUAAUUAUUUAUACUUAGAAAGCACUUUUUGCUAUAUUUAGAGUUGAAUGUUAUAGUAUCCUAAGAAAAUUGCUAUCAUAGGGAUUCUGAAGUAAGCUAGACUAGAGGAAGUUAUUGUUUAUUUCUUUCCUUUUUUUGAAGGAAGAUGGGCACCAACAGCAAUGAUACUGGGAAGGAAAAAUCUCAGAUUUAUGAGAUUGAGUAGGUAAAAUACAUAAAAUGUUUGAUUAAAUAGUUGUUCAGGAUGAUUAAGAAGAAUGAGUCAGGAUGACUGCUAUGUUUCAAGUUUGAUUGACCUAGAAGACAAUGCUGUCAUUCAACAAUCAAUAAAAUACAGGAGGUACAGUCUGGGGGGAGAGAAUGAGGUUACAUUUGGAUGAGAAGUAAAUUUUACUCUUGUGAACUAUGCAUUGUUUGCAUUUGUUACAUUAUUUCCAAAGAAAGGUUAUUAAUAUGCAUCAUCUAGCAUUUUGUGCUGUGAGUCCAAAUCCACUCAAAGUCAGAGCUGAAAAAAAUUGGUACUUAAACUCAACAUCUUGUGAUUUAGUUUCUGCCUAUAGAAUACUGCUGUCACCAAAAUAUCACAAGGGAAAUGACAUCUUAUUCUUCAUGAGAAAAUUAAAAAUUUAUCUUAAGAAUAAAAUUUCAAGCUAGUUAAUUUCUUAGCCAGCCACGAUGAUACAAGAUAGAUGACUGAUACUUGUAUUUUCUUCAAUAUGUUAACCAAAGUUCCAAAUAUGGAACAAAAUGAGUUCUUAAAUUUAACACAUUUUGCCAUAAAAUUUGAUCUUUACAGGCUUCUAUUUUAUCUCUAUAUAAUAAUUUAUAAAUAUAUUUAUAAUAUAAACUGGAAUAUUAUCAAAUCGUAUAAAUUCAUUAGCUUUAAGAAAAUGAUGCAAAUGAGGGUGUGUGUGUUCUGUAGUCCUGAAUGUUUAUUUUCUCUCACCUUUUUUUCUUCCUUUCUUUUGUUUCUUUUCUUCUUUUUAGGGCUGCACCUGUGGCAUAUGGAAAUUACUUGGCUAGAGGUCGAAUCAGAACUGCAGCUGCCAGCCACAGCUACAGCCACAGCAAUGCAGGAUCCAAGCCGUGUUUGUGACCUACACCACAGCUCACAGCAACAAUGGAUCCUUAACCCACUGAGUGAGAACAGGGAUUCUAAUCAGAUCCAUAACCCACUGAGCCACAACUGGAACUCUUGUUUCUAUAUUUCAAAUCCCAUCCACCUACAGAAUAUGUUUCACCAAUCAAAAUGAAAGUUUAGCCCAUUAUUCAUAAUUAGAUUUAAAUAAUUUUUACUUAUGUCAGAGUUCAUUGUAACCAGCAUGUUUUGUUUGCUGGUUUUAAUGCACAAAUCUUGACAAAUUCUACCUCGUUUUUAAUAUCAACUAGUAAUUGCUCAUACAUUAAUAUAAAAACAGUCCACAAAGAAGAAAAUAUUUGCAAAAUAUAUAAGUGAUAAAGGACUGCUAUGCAAAACAUAAAAAGAAAUCUAAAUGAUAUGAAAUCAAACCAGGCUGUUUAAAAGUGGGCCAAAGACUUUGAGACACCUCAUAAAAAAUGUAUAGAUGCAAAUAAGCAUAUGAAAAGAUGUUCCACAUCAUCUUGUCUUCAGGGAAAUGCAAAUGAAAACAGCAAUGAGGUACCAUUUAACUCCCAUUAGAGUGGCCAAAAUCCAGAAUACUAACAACACUGAAUGCUGGCAGGGAUAUGGGGCAACAGGAACUCUCAUUUAUUGCUGGUAGGAAUGCAGAAUAGCACAGCCACUUUAGAAACAUAAUGUUUGCUAUAAUCCAACAAUUGCAUUCCUUGAUACUUGCCCAAAGGAGUUGAAAACUCAUGUCCACACAAAAAUCUACAUUCAGACAAAUGUACCACUCUGAUGGGCAGUAUUAAUGAUGAAGAGGCUCUGCAUGUUUGGGUACACAGAAUGUAUUGGAAAUCUCUGUACCUUCCUCUCAAUUUUACUAUUAACUUAAAACUUCUCUAAAUAAUACAGUAUUAAAGAAAGGCGACCUUACCUACAGAAGAGUAGAAUGAAAUUGAAAAAUAUUAAAAAAUAAGUAUAAGAGUUCCCAUUGUGUCACAGUGGAAACGAAUCAGACUAGUAACUAUGAGGUUAUGAGUUUGAUUCCUGGCCUAACUCAGUGGGUUAAGGAUCUGGCAUUGCCAUCAGCUGUGGUGUAGGUUGCAGAUGUGGCUCGGAUCCUGUGAUGCUCUGGCUGUGGCAUAGGCUGGCAGAUGUAGCUCCUAUUCGAUCACACUUGAAGUGUGACCUAAAAACAAACAAAAAAA